rnacentral:rRNA from 1 species
GACGUAGGGGACGAGCGUUGUCCGGAUUCAUUGGGCGUAAAGCGCGCGUAGGUGGUUCGUUAAGUCUGAUGUGAAAGCCCUGGGCUCAACCUGGGAAUGGCAUUGGAUACUGGCGAUCUAGAGUGCGGUAGAGGGCAGUGGAAUUCCCGGUGUAGCAGUGAAAUGCGUAGAGAUCGGGAGGAACAUCUGUGGCGAAGGCGACUGCCUGGACCAGCACUGACACUGAGGCACGAAAGCGUGGGGAGCAAACAGG